rnacentral:rRNA from 1 species
GAUCAUGGCUCAGGAUGAACGCUAGCUACAGGCUUAACACAUGCAAGUCGAGGGGCAGCAUUUUAGUUUGCUUGCAAACUAAAGAUGGCGACCGGCGCACGGGUGAGUAACACGUAUCCAACCUGCCGAUAACUCGGGGAUAGCCUUUCGAAAGAAAGAUUAAUAUCCGAUAGUAUAUUAAAACCGCAUGGUUUUACUUAUUAAAGAAUUUCGGUUUAUCGAUGGGGAGUGCGUUCCAUUAGUUUGUUUGGCGGGGUAACGGG